CCUACGGGUGGCAGCAGUGAGGAAUAUUGGUCAAUGGACGCAAGUCUGAACCAGCCAUGCCGCGUGCAGGAAGACGGCUCUAUGAGUUGUAAACUGCUUUUGUACGAGGGUAAACGCAGAUACGCGUAUCUGUCUGAAAGUAUCGUACGAAUAAGGAUCGGCUAACUCCGUGCCAGCAGCCGCGGUAAUACGGAGGAUUCAAGCGUUAUCCGGAUUUAUGGGGGUUAAAGGGUGCGUAGGCGGUCGGAUAAGUUAGAGGUGAAAUCCCGAGGCUCAACUUCGGAAUUGCCUCUGAUACUGUUCGGCUAGUGAGUAGUUGCGGUAGGCUGAAUGUAUGGUGUAGCAGUGAAAUGCUUAGAGAUCAUACAGAACACCGAUUGCGAAGGCAGCUUACCAAGCUACUUCUGACGUUGAGGCACGAAAGCGUGGGGAGCAAACAGGAUUAGAUACCCGGGUAGUC
rnacentral:rRNA from 1 species